rnacentral:rRNA from 1 species
AUAUCAAUAAGCGGAGGAAAAGAAACCAACAGGGAUUGCCCCAGUAACGGCGAGUGAAGCGGCAACAGCUCAAAUUUGAAAUCUGGCCCCUAGGGCCCGAGUUGUAAUUUGCAGAGGAUGCUUUUGGCGAGGUGCCUUCCGAGUUCCCUGGAACGGGACGCCAUAGAGGGUGAGAGCCCCGUGAGGAGGGGCGCGCGAGCCUGUGUGAGGCCUGUCCGACGAGUCGAGUAGUUUGGGAAUGCUGCUCUAAAUGGGAGGUAUAUUCCUUCUAAAGCUAAAUACCGGCCAGAGACCGAUAGCGCACAAGUA